CUCGCGGGGUUCCUGCUGCAGGCCAGCGCCCUGUGCUUCUCCCACAGCACAGGGACAGGACCGGGCAGGGUGACGUGAGCACGUGACAGGGAUGACAAAGGAAGGGGGAAUGAGCAGUCUACUUUAAAUAGUGCGGCAUUCAAACGAGGGGGAAAAAAACCCAAAGGAAAAUAUUUCGAUCUAGGGAAUUCAGCUUGAGGUGUUUUUCACUCCUAGGUUAGAAUGGGACAAAGGAAAGAUUCUUCUAGCCGUUGUUCUGGAAGAAUAAUCUAGAAUCUAUUCUCUGUCCGUGGUGAUAGGUUGAGUCCUGAAAAGACCUGUUCCCGGGGGCCUAUUAAAAAGCCGGAAGAGUUAAAGUCUCUCUUGAGCUCCUUCAGUCUAACUCAGGCCACGACGGGAUAUAGAACCUCUGCAAGGAGCCUUCGAGCAGGCGCUCCAUCCAUAAGGACAACUUGCUCAACUUCCCUUUGAUGGGCCUGGGUCCAAGGCCGCAGGAGGAUUUCCCUCGCGAGUCGCCCAGAUGGAGGGAAGAGUCCAGAUCACUGCACGACCCCAGGGCUUCCUCCUCUUCCACUGCCUUCUGGGGCUUGAAGAGACAGAAGUACUUCUUGUGGCCAUUCAGAGCCAGCACGUAACCUGUGUAGUCACGUUCCAUGAAAUGCUUGUCAUACUGGUUGGGGAUCGGGGCUGCAUCCUGAGCAAAUUCUAGUAAGUAUUCCAGCCAUUCUCUGUGUUUAUCUAGACUCAGGAAGGAGAAGUGCAGGCAGCUACUCCUGUCGGAAGAACACAGUGAAGAUGUAGGGAAGAGCCCGCACGCUCAACUGCAGGGGACGUAACCCGUCAGUCAGACCUCCAGCACCAGGGGGAGGCUCUGUGCUGGAUGGGGCCCAAAUAUGGAAAGGAUGGAGGAUUCUGGUGGGACGUGAGGGCUUCCGUAACAGUUGUAACACUCUGCUCACCCAUCUCCCUCCCCGUCCCUGCCGGGUGCCAGUUAUGCCACUCUUGGUGUCUGGCUUCAGGAAACCCUUGAGAGCUAGCGUGAGAGUUCCCUGAGAGGCUCACGGAAGAGGACUGAGGUCAAGGUCUUCUGUUCAGAGGCACAGGGACACGAAGUCAGGGGGAGAAAGACCCCCCAACGGUAGCUAAGAUUUCUGGGUUUGAAAGGCCACGGCCAACAUCUCACCGCAUGUGCGAAGAAAGCCCCUCAUGGUCAAGGAGGAAAGAACAUAAUUCUCCUCUGGUCCCCUCCUCCCCCAAAUGUGCACGUUCUCUCCUUUCCCUCGCUCGCCCCCGAGCUUACCCAGUGAACGUGUAGACCUCCAAAGCGAAUUUCUGUAGUAGGCUGGUCUUGGUGGAAUUUGAUAGGAUGAGGACUACGUUCAUGUGGCCUGGCCUCAGGCGGACCAGGUUACUGGUGUAUGUGACAUCUGUGAGCUCAGUUACCUCCACAAAGCCUUUUUUAGGAAUCCUGCUGUGGAGAAGAGGUGAGGGAUUAUGAUGUUAUCAGGACAGGAGAAUGCCAUUGCUUUGAAAAGAAACAAGGGGAAGAAAAUGCUAUGUUCAACCAGACUAGCUAUGUUAUUUAAUAUUCUAGACUCCCCCUUGGUGUCCUGGGCCCAUAAAGACCCUUUCAGAUGCUGCUGUUCAGUAGGUGUAGAAGCAGCUUUAGGGGAGGAUGAAGGUAGUCCACACGGUUAUGGGGCUGCAGCCUUCUCUGCUUCUGGCUCGUCUAGCGUCUCUGACAGGCUCUGCUUCCUGUCCCCAUCAGGAAGUUUGAGACUGCGAGGCGGAAGGUACUGAGGAGAACAGAAGGAGGUCCUGUGUCUAGAUGCCUACAGGGUCUCAGAAACACUAACCAGCAGCUGACUUUUCCCUCACAUGUCACACACGAGGAGGUGACCCGCGUGCUCAUAUCUAUGAGACAGAGAGAGAAAGAGGAGGCAGAGACACAGGCAGAGGGAGAAGCAGGCUCCAUCCCGGGGGCCCGAUGUGGGACCUGAUCCCAGGACUCCAGGAUCACACCCUGGGCCAAAGGCAGGCGCUGAACCGCUGAGCCACCCAGGGAUCCCAACCUGCUGUUUUCUUUGGCGAAGCUUGGCUCGGUCUUCCCGGCCUUCUCAUGGGCUUCCUCUUUAUCUGGAGGGUUUGAUUCUCGCUCAUCGUUUGAGUCACUAAAGUAAGAAACGAGGUGUUUUAUAAAAGAAAUAGUACCAACAACCCCGAGGCCUGGGGCCCGCCCCUGAGAAGUUGCUCUGAGAAGCCAGGGAGGCAUUUACCUGAAAGCCUGAACGAUGACGGUGCCGAAGAGGAUGAAGAGGGCGGAGAAGACCAGGGAGAGAAGGGGCAUCAUCUCCCGCCUGAAACGAAGUUAAGCUCUGGUCAGCUCUAGAAACGCUGCUGCGGUCUGUCCGUUGAUGACAUUAGGUUUCUUCUCUUUGGCUCAAACAAAACCAAGAACCCAAACCGAAAGGCUUUCAUAUCAAUAAACAUUUUCUAGUUUCAUGUAA